rnacentral:lncRNA from 10 species
CAAAGGCCGAUCUCCCGGGGCCUGCCCAGCAAGAGGCAGGGCGGGGUGGUCCCCACGCCCAGGGCCCCUCGAGAGCUGGUUCUGUGGGGAUGAAAGGAAACUCGAGGCCGGUGGCCCAGCUCUAACGUGCAGCUCUAGCGUGCGGGGGAGCUGUGAAGUGCCCGGGGGGGCCCCCGGAGAAAGGACUCCUGCCAGCCGCCUCUUCUCCACCUGGGGUGGAGCGUCUGUGGCGUGGCCUUGGUCCGCCGAGACUGUGGACGGUCUGGCUAUGCUGUCCCCUGCUGAACCUCUUCCUGGGAGGGGCCUCAGGGGUUCUUGCUCACUCCCAGGACCUGUUCACGCGUGUCCACAAUUUGGUCCCCCUUGUGCCUGAAAACCUUCCAGGAGGACGCUCGCCUUCCACUGUCCACAGCCCCCAGAUGUAGAAACUGAAACCCAGCUUGGGGACCGCCUUCCUGAGGACACAACGCUGGAAGAGUGUGUGAUGUCACGCCAGCCUCAGGGGAGGGUGCCGGCAGUCUUGCCCGGGCCACCAGCAACAGUGGCUCUCGAGGAAGGACCCGGAAGUUGGCCCGCAAAGCUGGCCCCAACCCACUCUGAUCUGUGGUCCCCUCCAUGGUUGCAGGAAGAGUGGUCUCUUUUGUCUUGGCUUACGAUCGUCCAGUCGGGUUCUACUGCCGGCCGCGGUGGCUCACGCCUGUAAUCCCAACACUUUGGGAGGCUGAGGUGGGUGGAUCACGUGAGGUCAGGAGCUCAAGACCAGCCUGGCCAACAUGAUGAAACCCCAUCUCUACCCAAAAUACAAAAAUUAGCUGGACGUGGUGCCACACGCCUGUAACCCCAGCUACCUGGGAGGCUGAGGAAGGAGAAUCACUUGAACCCAGGAGACGGAGGUUGCAGUGAGCCAAGAUCACGCCAUUGCACUGCAGCCUGGGUGACAGAACAAGACUACGUCUCAAAAAAAGAAAAAAGAAAGAAAAAAAAGAAAAUAGUUCUGCUGUGAAAAUGACUGUUUGCAUUACCAAGAAGAGAUUUCAAAGUUAUCUUAAAAUGUUCCUGUUCCCAAGAAGCAGUAUAUAGUAAUAAAGACAUAUAUUCACCAAGAAUAACAUGUCCAGAAAGACAAGUUCUUAAAAACAGAAUGAGUGACAGUGGGCACACCAUGAGACUUAGUCACCUCCAAGAAGGACCUGGGUAGGAAAGGAGGGGCUGGGAGGGAAACUGCACCCCUUCAUUCCCACCCCACCCCAGCAAUUCCAGGCACAAACAGUUGAGCUCUGAGACAGAUGAAAGCUUUUCAGUUCUCAGAAGUCCAAAGGGCUGACCCACUUUGCCGGUUUGCAUGGUUUGCCUGGAGUGGCAUUAAGGCCGGCUUCUUUACAGUGUGUCUGAAAUACAAU